GACGAACGCUGGCGGCGUGCUUAACACAUGCAAGUCGAACGGAAAGGCCCUGCUUUUGUGGGGUGCUCGAGUGGCGAACGGGUGAGUAACACGUGAGUAACCUGCCCUUGACUUUGGGAUAACUUCAGGAAACUGGGGCUAAUACCGGAUAGGAGCUCCUGCUGCAUGGUGGGGGUUGGAAAGUUUCGGCGGUUGGGGAUGGACUCGCGGCUUAUCAGCUUGUUGGUGGGGUAGUGGCUUACCAAGGCUUUGACGGGUAGCCGGCCUGAGAGGGUGACCGGCCCCAGUGGGACUGGGAUACGGCCAAGACUCCUACGGGGGGCAGCGGUGGGGAAUUUUGCACAAGGGGCGGAGGCCGGAUGCAGCAACGCCGCGUGGGGGAUGACGGCCUUCGGGUUGUAAACCGCUUUCGCCUGUGACGAGGCGUGAGUGACGGUAAUGGUAAAGAAGCACCGGCUAACUACGUG
rnacentral:rRNA from 1 species